CCUACGGGUGGCAGCAGUGAGGAAUAUUGGUCAAUGGGCGCGAGCCUGAACCAGCCAAGCCGCGUGAGGGAAGACGGUUCUAUGGAUUGUAAACCUCUUUUGUCGGGGAGCAAAAGACGCCACGCGUGGCGCUCCGAGAGUACCCGAAGAACAAGCAUCGGCUAACUCCGUGCCAGCAGCCGCGGUAAUACGGAGGAUGCGAGCGUUAUCCGGAUUUAUUGGGUUUAAAGGGUGCUCAGGGGGAAGAUAAAGUCAGCGGUAAAAUUGAGAGGCUCAACCGCGUCGAGCCGUUGAUACUGGUUUUCUAGAGUGAGCGAGGGGUAUGCGGAAUGCGUGGGGUAGCAGUGAAAUGCGUAGAUAGCGCGCAGAACUCCGAUGGCGAAGGCAGGAUACCGGCGCUCAACUGACGCUGAUGCACGAAAGUGUGGGGAUCGAACGGGAUUAGAUACCCCAGUAGUC
rnacentral:rRNA from 1 species